AGAACGAACGCUGGCGGCAGGCUUAACACAUGCAAGUCGAACGCCCCGCAAGGGGAGUGGCAGACGGGUGAGUAACGCGUGGGAAUCUACCCAGUUCUACGGAAUAACACAGGGAAACUUGUGCUAAUACCGUAUACGCCCUACGGGGGAAAGAUUUAUCGGGAUUGGAUGAGCCCGCGUUGGAUUAGCUAGUUGGUGGGGUAAUGGCCUACCAAGGCGACGAUCCAUAGCUGGUCUGAGAGGAUGAUCAGCCACACUGGGACUGAGACACGGCCCAGACUCCUACGGGAGGCAGCAGUGGGGAAUAUUGGACAAUGGGCGCAAGCCUGAUCCAGCCAUGCCGCGUGAGUGAUGAAGGCCUUAGGGUUGUAAAGCUCUUUCAGUGGGGAAGAUAAUGACGGUACCACGAGAAGAACGCCCGGCUAACUUCGUGCCAGCAGCCGC
rnacentral:rRNA from 1 species